GUAGGGAAUAUUGGGCAAUGGAUGCAAGUCUGACCCAGCCAUCCCGCGUGCCGGAAGAAGGCCCUCAGGGUUGUAAACGGCUUUUGACGGUGAAGAAUCGACAGGAUGCGUCCUGUUUUGACGGUAGCCGUUGAAUAAGCACCGGCUAACUCCGUGCCAUCAGCCGCGGUAAUACGGAGGGUGCGAGCGUUGUCCGGAUUUAUUGGGUUUAAAGGGUGCGUAGGCUGGAAGGUCAGUCAGCGGUGAAAAGCUAUCGCUUAACGAUAGUCUUGCCGCAGAUACUUCCUUUCUUGGAUGAGGAGGAGGCCACUGGAACGGAUGGUGUAGCGGUGAAAUGCAUAGAUAUCAUCCAGAACACCGAUUGCGAAGGCAGGUGGCUGUACCUUAAUCGACGCUGAUGCACGAAAGCAUGGGGAGCAAACAGGAUUAGAUACCCGGGUAGUCC
rnacentral:rRNA from 1 species